rnacentral:sRNA from 1 species
GGUGUUCAAGUUCCACUUCCAUGUUCCUCAUCUCCACAUACUCCCUCAUCAUCACCACCACCACCACCAUGAUGUUCCUAAAGGCUGUGUAGCGAUUAUGGUGGGACACGAAGACGAUGAAGAAGGUCUACAUAGAUUUGUUGUUCCGUUGGUGUUCUUGAGCCAUCCUUUGUUCUU